rnacentral:rRNA from 1 species
GACUCUCGGCAACGGAUAUCUCGGCUCUCGCAUCGAUGAAGAACGUAGCGAAAUGCGAUACUUGGUGUGAAUUGCAGAAUCCCGUGAACCAUCGAGUCUUUGAACGCAAGUUGCGCCCGAGGCCACCCGGCCGAGGGCACGCCUGCCUGGGCGUC